UUCCGGUUGAUCCUGCCGGAGGCCACUGCUAUGGGGGUCCGAUUAAGCCAUGCGAGUCAUGGGGCGCCUUGCGCGCACCGGCGGACGGCUCAGUAACACGUCGGUAACCUACCCUCGGGAGGGGGAUAACCCCGGGAAACUGGGGCUAAUCCCCCAUAGGCCUGAGGUACUGGAAGGUCCUCAGGCCGAAAGGGGCUCUGCCCGCCCGAGGAUGGGCCGGCGGCCGAUUAGGUAGUUGGUGGGGUAACGGCCCACCAAGCCGAAGAUCGGUACGGGCCAUGAGAGUGGGAGCCCGGAGAUGGACACUGAGACACGGGUCCAGGCCCUACGGGGCGCAGCAGGCGCGAAACCUCCGCAAUGCGGGCAACCGCGACGGGGGGACCCCCAGUGCCGUGGCAACGCCACGGCUUUUCCGGAGUGUAAAAAGCUCCGGGAAUAAGGGCUGGGCAAGGCCGGUGGCAGCCGCCGCGGUAAUACCGGCGGCCCGAGUGGUGGCCGCUAUUAUUGGGCCUAAAGCGUCCGUAGCCGGGCCCGUAAGUCCCUGGCGAAAUCCCACGGCUCAACCGUGGGGCUUGCUGGGGAUACUGCGGGCCUUGGGACCGGGAGAGGCCGGGGGUACCCCUGGGGUAGGGGUGAAAUCCUAUAAUCCCAGGGGGACCGCCAGUGGCGAAGGCGCCCGGCUGGAACGGGUCCGACGGUGAGGGACGAA
rnacentral:rRNA from 1 species